rnacentral:rRNA from 1 species
AGGACGAACGCUGGCGGCGUGCCUAACACAUGCAAGUCGAACGAGGUCCAAGAGAGCUUGCUCUCUGAAGACCUAGUGGCGAACGGGUGAGUAACACGUGAGCAACCUGCCCUGGAAUCGGGGAUAACUCGAGGAAACUCGAGCUAAUACCGGAUACCUUCCCCUGGCCGCAUGACCGGGGGAAGAAAGAAUUUCGUUCCAGGAGGGGCUCGCGGCCUAUCAGUUAGUUGGCGGGGUAACGGCCCACCAAGACUACGACGGGUAGCUGGUUUGAGAGAACGAUCAGCCACACUGGGACUGAGACACGGCCCAGACUCCUACGGGAGGCAGCAGUGGGGAAUCUUGCGCAAUGGGCGAAAGCCUGACGCAGCAACGCCGCGUGCGGGAUGACGGCCUUCGGGUUGUAAACCGCUUUCAGCAGGGACGAAAUGACGGUACCUGCAGAAGAAGCCCGGCUAACUACGUGCCAGCAGCCGC